rnacentral:rRNA from 1 species
AGAGUUUGAUCCUGGCUCAGGACGAACGCUGGCGGCGUGCCUAACACAUGCAAGUCGAACGGAGAAUUUCAAGAAGUUUACUUUGAGAAAUUUUUAGUGGCGGACGGGUGAGUAACGCGUGGGUAACCUACCCAUAAACCCGGGACAACCCUUGGAAACGAGGGCUAAUACCGGAUAAUCUUUUGGUUUGGCAUCAAACUUAAAGAAAAGGUGGCCUCUGAAUAUGCUACCGAUUAUGGAUGGACCCGCGUCUGAUUAGCUAGUUGGUGGGGUAAAGGCCUACCAAGGCGACGAUCAGUAGCCGGCCUGAGAGGGUGAACGGCCACACUGGGACUGAGACACGGCCCAGACUCCUACGGGAGGCAGCAGUGGGGAAUCUUCCGCAAUGGACGAAAGUCUGACGGAGCAACGCCGCGUGUAUGAUGAAGGUCUUCGGAUUGUAAAGUACUGUCUUUGGGGGAGAAUGAUGCAUUUGAAAAUAUUGAGUGCAUAUGACGGUACCCAAGGAGGAAGCCCCGGCUAACUACGUGCCAGCAGCCGCGGUAAUACGUAGGGGGCAAGCGUUGUCCGGAAUUAUUGGGCGUAAAGGGCGCGUAGGCGGAUAGUUAAGUCCGGUGUGAAAGAUCAGGGCUCAACCCUGAGAGUGCAUCGGAAACUGGUUAUCUUGAGGACAGGAGAGGAAAGUGGAAUUCCUAGUGUAGCGGUGAAAUGCGUAGAUAUUAGGAGGAACACCAGUGGCGAAGGCGACUUUCUGGACUGUAACUGACGCUGAGGCGCGAAAGCGUGGGGAGCAAACAGGAUUAGAUACCCUGGUAGUCCACGCUGUAAACGAUGAGUGCUAGGUGUAGAGGGUAUCGACCCCUUCUGUGCCGCAGUUAACACAAUAAGCACUCCGCCUGGGAG